rnacentral:misc_RNA from 1 species
GAUGAAGAACGUAGUGAAAUGCGAUAAGUAGUGUGAAUUGCAGAAUUCAGUGAAUCAUCGAAUCUUUGAACGCACAUUGCGCCCCUCGGUAUUCCGUGGGGCAUGCCUGUUCGAGCGUCAUUUAACCCCUCAAGCCUAGCUUGGUAUUGGGUGCUUGUCCCGCCUCUCGCGCGGCGACUCACCUCAAAGUCAUUGGCAGCCCGCAUCUCGCCGGCCGUGAGCGCAGCACAGACGCGCUCUUGGCAACGACGGAUCGGCUCUCCAAAAGCUUAUUACAACCACUGACCUCGGAUCAGGUAGGGAUACCCGCUGAACUUAAGCAUAUCAAUAAGCGGAGGA